GAUUCCUACGGGACGCAGCAGUGGGGAAUAUUGGGCAAUGGGCGCAAGCCUGACCCAGCAACGCCGCGUGAAGGAAGAAGGCUUUCGGGCUGUAAACUUCUUUUCUCAGGGACGAAGAAAGUGACGGUACCUGAGGAAUAAGCCACGGCUAACUACGUGCCAGCAGCCGCGGUAAUACGUAGGUGGCAAGCGUUAUCCGGAUUUAUUGGGUGUAAAGGGCGUGUAGGCGGGAGCGCAAGUCAGGUGUGAAAACUCAGGGGUCAACCCUGAGCCUGCAUUUGAAACUGUGUUUCUUGAGUGCUUGG
rnacentral:rRNA from 1 species